GGCGGCGUUGCUCAGUUCGUUAAAACGCCUGUCUAAUAAACGGGAGAUCACGAGUUCGAAUCUCGUCGGUGCCU